rnacentral:misc_RNA from 1 species
AACGUAGAUGCUGUACGUAGCCGACGUUUAACCAGACUGCAGUCGGCUGACGAAAGCGCAAGCUCGUUUACAAUUGGUCUUGUUAGAUUUGUGGACACGAAGAUGAGCAUAGCUCGUAGGCUUAGUCCGUGCAAACGCGCAAGUCGAUCUUGCAGCUGGAUUUCGGGGAUCGAUGGCCGACUUUAAGCACAGCAGAUUCGCGGCAAUGAACACUAAAAUCGAUAUCCUAAGCCGAAAUUCAUCAACGAGACGAUAUCGACUUUGAGAAGGACCCUUUAGAUUUCAGAUUACGGCUGUUCCAUCUUUCCGUGUUCUCGGACCCAGGCGUGGCAUUCGCAUCGCGAUCCUCGUCCUCCGGAGUGGUGCCGCGAUUAGGAACCGAACCGGUUCCGGUCCCUGUAGGCGAUCGGCUGGUAGAGCCAGCGGGACUCUGCGGUGCGACUUCCUGUGCUGCUGCCGCGCUCGCACCUCCUCCGACGCCUCCGACGCCUCCGACGCCUCCGAUGCUCGCCGACGCUCCAGAAACAGAGACAACGGCGCCUCCGCUGGCAGAGGACAACGACGAAGGCGAGAACAUGUUCGACAUGCUCGACAAUGAGCCGAUACUUGGCAAACCGGAACCGGUGACCGGACCGUUUCCUGUUUCUACUUUCAGACACUUGCUCGGCGGAGCGAAAGCCGAUGGCCCCAGGGGCCUGAACCCUCCGAACGGUAAACGGUGAUCCAAAGGGUGCAAAAAUUGCGGCGGCAAGUGGAGCAUAUGAUGGAGGCCGUAACCCAGAGAAGCCGCAGUGCUGAACGGCACUUGGAGAUCCUUCGAGUCGGUCACCUGGACAAUAAAAAAGAAUAUCAUUAGUCACGGAGAGAUUGUUAUGGGAUAAAUAUACUACCGUGAAGAAGUGCUUGGAUCGUUAGUUGAUUUUGAUACUCGCAAGAUUACUCCAGAGAUCUGUCAAAAAUAGAAUUCGUACAGUGGCUGGCACAGUAUUGAAACAAUUUUCGAGAAGAAACUUCAUUCGUGAAACGAACAUCUUUACAUGGAACAG